AAAGCACGUUUCUGAUUAGCGAAUUGAAAAAUUCAAAUGAUUGACUUGAUGGGCGGUACCGGGGGAAACGCCGGUAUGUUAACUUGCCAAAUUCGGGGAAGCCAGUAGUGCGGUAAUCCCGAGCCAAGCCCGAAGGAAACUUCGGGAAGGUGUAGAGACUGAAUGGUAGGCACCCUAACGCAUCAUGGCGAGGGCGAAGAGACAGUCCAGACUACAAAUUCUGCCAACGCAGAAGCAACGAAAGUUGUAG
rnacentral:ncRNA from 1 species